AUUGAACGCUGGCGGCGUGCUUAACACAUGCAAGUCGAUCGGUAACAGGUGUAGCAAUACAUGCUGACGAGAGGCGGACGGGUGAGGAAUAUGUGGGAAUCUGCGCCUCAGCGGGGGACCACCCGGGGAAACGCGGGCUAAUACCGCAUACGCUGUACGGAUGAAAGCCGGGGACCGCGAGUCCUGGCACUGAUGGAUGAGCUCACAUCGGAUUAGCUAGUUGGCGGGGUAACGGCCCACCAAGGCGACGAUCCGUAGCUGGUCUGAGAGGACGAUCAGCCACACCGGAACUGAGACACGGUCCGGACUCCUACGGGAGGCAGCAGUGGGGAAUAUUGGACAAUGGGGGAAACCCUGAUCCAGCGACGCCGCGUGGGUGAAGAAGGCCUGCGGGUUGUAAAGCCCUUUCGGUAGGGACGAAAGCUCUUGCUCUAACAAGGCAGGAGGUUGACUUAACCUACAUAAGAAGCACCGGCUAACUAUGUGCCAGCCGCCGCAGUAACAC
rnacentral:rRNA from 1 species